rnacentral:lncRNA from 1 species
GUGUGUUCUGUUGGCAUUACAGUUUAACAGUUAUGGAGUCAGAAGUUAGAGUCUGAGUGAUGAGUUUGUCAAAGAAUGAUGUUAAGCAGCUAAAAUGUCAUCCUAUGUAACAAGUAAAUAUGUUUGUUUGUUAUUCUGAUAUAUAUGGACAUUUGUGAGUAAAAGUGAAAUAUUUUUUAUUCUUAAUACCAGAGUCUCUGACUGAAUCUAUUGAGACUUUAUUACUAGUUGAGGUAAACCUAGCUAAAAAUAACCAAACAACAAGGAGUUGUAUAUUUGAGGGAGAGUUGCAGUUAUUAUAAUCUGCUCUGUAGGUCCCUGUCUGGAUUUUUCUCCACUGGAGAAAAAUUAGCUGGAGAUUUUAAACCAGCAAUGACUACACUCUACCUUUUCUUAUUUUCCAGGUGUAGAAAAGCUGCUUAGCAAUAAAGACUAUUCAGUGAGCAGAGUUCAUUUUCAGACAGAGAUCAUCCUUGAGAAGGCCUUCUCUCUCCAUUCCAGGAAUAAGAUCCCCUUCUCAGAUACUGGAAAUACUGACUAGCUGUACUAGAGCAAAAAAAAGGGUUACACAUGUUAACCCUAAGUGCUCACUGGAAGGACAAAUCCUGAAGCUGAGGCUCCAAUACUUUGGCCAUUUCCUGAGAAGAGAAGACUCCCUGGAAAAGACCCUGAUGCUGGGAAAGUGUGAGGACAAGAGGGAGACGACAGAGGACAAGAUGGUUGGACAGUGUCACCGAAGCUGCCAACAUGAAUUUGACCCAACUCUGGGAGGCAGUGGAAGACAGGAGGGCCUGCCAUGCUCUGGUCCAUGGGGUCACGAAAAGUUAGACACAACAAGUAGAGUCAACAAAAUGUUAUUUCCUAAGUAUAUAGAAAAUAUUUGUUGAGCCUUCACUUUUGCCCAGUGUGGGAACAGAGGGAGAUGUUUUUAGUGUUGGCCUCAGUGACUGAGCCACCAUGUAUCUAUAUUGAUGCUACUCAACUCUGCUUUUCAGAAGUUAGUCAACUCUCUUGGUUGCCUCAAGGAGAGGGCUUAGGAGCAAAUCAGAGAGAGAACCUCUUCCUUCUGGUCCACUCCUGGGCCACACAUUAGGAUGAUGAAUCAAGCUUUAGCAUUAUCACGACUGUCCUUUUUAAUUGCUGUGGUCAAAACCGUAGUAUGGAAUAUGUUAGUUGCCAAUUAUGGGGCUAGGAAGGAAUUUUACCCACUUUUACCACUGAAGCAAAGUUUUGCCUUUCACAGCAAUAUUCACGCUAUUAUUGUUUUUUACUUUCCUUGUUUUUAUUGACCUGUCCAGAAAAAAGUGAUAUAAAUAUGUUAAACAACCAUUUCUGCUUCACCUGAGUUUUGUUCAUGUUCUCUUGGAAGCUGUUCCAUUCUGUUU